rnacentral:rRNA from 1 species
UACGUAGGGUGCGAGCGUUAAUCGGAAUACUGGGCGUAAAGCGUGCGCAGGCGGUUGUGCAAGACAGAGGUGAAAUCCCCGGGCUUAACCUGGGAAUGGCCUUUGUGACUGCACGGCUAGAGUGUGUCAGAGGGGGGUAGAAUUCCACGUGUAGCAGUGAAAUGCGUAGAGAUGUGGAGGAAUACCGAUGGCGAAGGCAGGCCCCCUGGGAUAACACUGACGCUCAUGCACGAAAGCGUGGGGAGCAAACAGGAUAGAAACCC